rnacentral:rRNA from 1 species
AGCGAACGCCGGCGGCGUGCUUAACACAUGCAAGUCGAGCGAAGGUGUUUCAAGGGUAACCUUGAGAUACACUUAGCGGCGGACGGGUGAGUAAUACGUGGAUAACUUACCUCUAGGCCUGGGAUAACCCCGGGAAACUGGGGCUAAUACCUGAUAAGACCACAUUGUCUACGGACAAAGGGGUAAAAGGUGGCUGUGCAAACAGCUAUCGCCAAAAGAUAGGUUCACGUCCCAUCAGGCAGUUGGGAGGUAAUGGCUCACCAAACCAAAGACGGGUAGCCGGCCUUGGCGGGUGAACGGCCACACGGGGACUGAGACACGGCCCCGACUCCUACGGGAGGCAGCAGUGGGGAAUAUUGGGCAAUGGGCGCAAGCCUGACCCAGCGACGUCGCGUU